rnacentral:tRNA from 1 species
GCCGAGGUAGCUCAGAUGGCCAGAGCAUUCCCAUGGUAAGGGAAAGGUCGCGGGUUCGAUUCCCGCCCUCGGCU